GACGAACGCUGGCGGUGUGCUUCACACAUGCAAGUCGAACGAGGUGGCAAUACCUAGUGGCGGACGGGUGAGUAACGCGUGGGAAUCUGCCUUUAGAUGGGGGAUAACGGGCCGAAAGGUCCGCUAAUACCGCAUAUGCCGCAAGGUGAAAGGAGUAAUCCGUCUAAAGAUGAGCCCGCGUCCGAUUAGCUAGUUGGUAGAGUAAGAGCCUACCAAGGCGACGAUCGGUAGCUGGUCUGAGAGGACGAUCAGCCACAAUGGGACUGGGACACGGCCCAUACUCCUACGGGAGGCAGCAGUGGGGAAUUUUACGCAAUGGGGGAAACCCUGACGUAGCGACACCGCGUGAGCGAAGAAGCCCUUUGGGGUGUAAAGCUCUGUCAGCUGGAACGAAAACAAUGACGGUACCAGCAGAGGAAGCAUCGGCUAACUACGUGCCAGCCGCCGCGGUAA
rnacentral:rRNA from 1 species